UUUUGCUAAACAUUCUAUCUCAAGGAGUCUAAAUAAUGUAGAGAGUAACUACAAUUAUAUAAUCUUCAACUCCAUUAAAGAUCCGAGAAGGGAAUAAAUAUUACUUAACAAACGAGAUAUAUCCAAAAUGUGUAACAAUUGACAGAGACAACUGACUAUCUGGGCAAUCACCCAAAGUCUUGUUUGCAAUGUUGAGUCAACCAACUUUGGCUAAGGCCUAACAUAAAUGACAUACCAUUAUUAAAGGCAAGGAACUUUUCAAAACUAACUUACCCUGUCUUGGCAGGAUAUGACAGUCCUGUUUUAUCUAUUGAUGCAUGCUCUGUAUCUCUGUCAGUGGUUGAGGUAUGGGCUUUUCUUAACCCAAAGGCCAGUUCUGCCAAGAAGACAAGCUCCCAGUGGAGUGUCUUUGGUGCUCAACGUUCUCUCGGGAAUAGAGCGGUGUUGCCAGGAGCAAUUGUGUCUCACUAUCACGAAACUCUGAGUUAUAUUAAAGGCCAUAUUCUACAGCUCUCCAAAGAGGUUGAAGAUUAUCUAUCUAUACUGAGUAUAAUCUCUAUAUAUCUAAAGAACCUGAUUAGUCUAAUUACAAAUGACAAACUUAGAUGACUAUUAAUCUAUAUAAUUCUCAAUAUCUAUCUAACUUAAAGACUAAAACAAUAAACAACUGUGCAAUAUAUGAAGACAAUGAUCUUCAUCUGUAAACAAUGUCAUUACAUAUCAAAUGUAAACAAUGUUAUUACAUAAAUAGUAUCAGAGGUAGAAAUGUACAUUGUGAUAUGGUAGAUGUAUCAAUACAAUAUAAGCAUAUUCUUAUACAAAAAUAGAGGUAGGAACACUCACAUUCAAUAUUCAAUAUGUCAAUAUACAGAAAACAGUACCAAUACAAUUUUCUAAAAACAGUAACUCACAAAUACCAAUCAUCCCAUCAAACCAGUUAAUCCCCCCCCUUUUUUUUUUUCGAACAUACCCCUAAUUCCAUAAAACAUCUCCCCAUCCCCUCAACCCCAAACCAACCACUAAAAGAUGUCCCUAACCCUGAGGGCAAACUCUGUUGGGAGAGGGGACGUCGUCCUCUAAGAUUGCUUCAAGCUGACAUGGGGGCGAUGUUCUCCUUAGGGGCUCCUGUGAAAGCAAAUGAUGGUAAAAUUCCCAAAUUAACCUUUGACCUAAGAAAAUUAUAACUAGUCCCUGAGCACUUUGAGAAGGUCCGGCCAGAGUGUUGUCAAAAAUGUGCACCAUUCGAAAUUGUCUUGUGCAGUUGGUACCAAAAAACAGGUCUCAUAUUAGCGCGUAAAAAAGAGAAAAAGAAAAAAAAUAUUCAUGACGUCAUAAAAACCAGGUUGAGUUGAUGUUGUGGGGCCCCAUCUUCAUCCUGGAAACUUCAAAAAUUACUGUAGGGAAAUUUGUUGCUUGUUAUGGGAAAUUUAAACAUUAACAACAAGGACAUAUUCUGACAUAUAAAGAAAGACACAGAUAUGAGGAAAAGCAAAGAAAGUUUAUCAAGUAUAUAAUUAUCCUCAUUCUGUCCCAUUUCAUGGCUCCUGAUCUGAGACAGAAACUCUGAGAUAUCUCUUAUCAACAGGCUUGGAAUUGAAGAGGGACUGAGCCAUAGUCCAACUCCAAAACCAGCUCUACAUAUUUAUAAAGAAGCGUUCAAAGAGAAAAAAGAAAAUAUAUAUAUAAUCAAUACUUACUCAUGUUACUGUUGAGUCUUAGUGGGUCGUAACUAUUUUCCAUCCAUCAGUUAUUAAAUAUUCAGGGUCCCUUAAAUUCUUUGAAGAUCAGUAUUUUCCUGUGGAGAUAAAAAAAAAAGAACCCUGCCCCCAACCUACCUGAAUUCCUUACCAUCAGUAUGCUCGCCAUCCUUGUGAAUGAAUUGUUAUUUAUCUUUUCCAAAUGGCUUUUCUUCUUCAUACCGAACCUUUAUUAAUUUUGACGGUAUCCACAAUUGUUCCUCACCUGUGGAGAUAAGAGCAAAACCCCUUCCCCAACGCAGCACAUCUCCUGGCUUCCAUUGUGAGGUCAGCACAUCCUUGAAAUAAACUGGUUGAUUUAGUUCAGUA